rnacentral:rRNA from 1 species
UACGUAGGGUGCAAGCGUUGUCCGGAAUUAUUGGGCGUAAAGAGCUCGUAGGCGGCCUGUCGCGUCGGCUGUGAAAACCCGGAGCUCAACUCCGGGCCUGCAGUCGAUACGGGCAGACUGGAGUUCGGCAGGGGAGACUGGAAUUCCUGGUGUAGCGGUGAAAUGCGCAGAUAUCAGGAGGAACACCGGUGGCGAAGGCGGAUCUCUGGGCCGUAACUGACGCUGAGGAGCGAAAGCAUGGUGAGCGAACAGG